UACGUAGGGUGCGAGCGUUGUCCGGAAUUAUUGGGCGUAAAGAGCUUGUAGGCGGUUUGUCGCGUCUGCUGUGAAAAUCCGGGGCUCAACCCCGGACUUGCAGUGGGUACGGGCAGACUAGAGUGUGGUAGGGGAGAAUGGAAUUCCUGGUGUAGCGGUGGAAUGCGCAGAUAUCAGGAGGAACACCGGUGGCGAAGGCGGGUCUCUGGGCCGAUAUUGACGCUGAGGAGCGAAAGCGUGGGGAGCAAACAGG
rnacentral:rRNA from 1 species